UUUAGAGUUUGAUCCAUGGCUCAGAACGAACGCUGGCGGCGCGCCUAACACAUGCAAGUCGAACGUGAAACCGGGGCAACUCGGGAGUAAAGUGGCAAACGGGUGAGUAAUACGUGGGUAAUCUACCUUAUAGCGGGGGAUAACCCGUCGAAAGGCGGGCUAAUACCGCAUGUGAUCCUGGGACAUAGGUCUUGGGAUGAAAGAUGGCCCGCAAGGGUUGUCACUACUAGAUGAGCCCACGCCCCAUCAGCUUGUUGGUAGGGUAACGGCCUACCAAGGCUCUGACGGGUAGCUGGUCUGAGAGGACGACCAGCCACACUGGCACUGAGACACGGGCCAGACUCCUACGGGAGGCAGCAGUGAGGAAUCUUGCGCAAUGGGCGCUAAGCCUGACGCAGCGACGCCGCGUGGGGGAUGAAGGCCUUCGGGUUGUAAACCCCUUUUGGGAGGAAAGAAAACCCUGGAGAAUGAAUAGUUCACCAGGGUGGACGGACCUCCAGAAUAAGCCACG
rnacentral:rRNA from 1 species